rnacentral:rRNA from 1 species
CCUACGGGAGGCAGCAGUGAGGAAUAUUUGUCAAUGGGCGCGCGCCUGAACCAGCCAAGUAGCGUGAAGGAUGACUGCCCUACGGGUUGUAAACUUCUUUUAUAAAGGAAUAAAGUGAGGCACGUGUGCCUUUUUGUAUGUACUUUAUGAAUAAGGAUAGGCUAACUCCGCGCCAGCAGCCGCGGUAAUACGGAGGAUCCGAGCGUUAUCCGGAUUUAUUGGGUUUAAAGGGAGCGUAGAUGGGUUGUUAAGUCAGUUGUGAAAGUUUGCGGCUCAACCGUAAAAUUGCAACUGAUACUGGCAGCCUUGAGUACAGUUGAGGUAAGCGGAAUUCGUGGUGUAGCGGUGAAAUGCUUAGAUAUCACGAAGAACUCCGAUUGCGAAGGCAGCUUACUAAACUGCCACUGACAUUGAUGCUCGAAAGUGUGGGUAUCAAACAGGAUUAGAUACCCUAGUAGUC